AAUUUUAUAUUCAAUAAUGAUUUUAAAUUGCAAGUUUAAAGGUGCUUAAUGGCUGAAAUUU
rnacentral:tRNA from 1 species